rnacentral:rRNA from 1 species
AUACGGAGGGCGCAAGCGUUAAUCGGAAUCACUGGGCGUAAAGCGCGCGUAGGCCGCUUUCUAAGUCGGACGUGAAAGCCCUCGGCUCAACCGGGGAACUGCGUUCGAUACUGGGAGGCUUGAGUCCUGGAGAGGGUGGCGGAAUUCCGGGUGUAGGAGUGAAAUCCGUAGAUAUCCGGAGGAACACCGGUGGCGAAGGCGGCCACCGGGACAGGUACGGACGCUGAGGCGAGAAGGCGUGGGGAGCAAACAGGAUUAGAUGCCCAGGUAGCCCACGCCGUAAACGAUGGAUGCUAGGUGUCGGGGAGCGAUCCUCGGUGCCGCAGUUAACGCAUUAAGCAUCCCGCCUGGGGAGUACGGUCGCAAGGCUGA